rnacentral:lncRNA from 1 species
CGGAUAUUGCCAAAGGAGACCAGGUUCCGACGCAGCUGGGAUUCCAAACCCUGGGGCGCCGGUGGGAGCCCAGACCCGGCGAAGCACCGCCCCCGGGGCGUGGCCAGGGUAGGGGCGUGGCCUGGAGCGUGCUGAGAACCCCUCCCCCUCGGCUGCCUCCUCUCGCCCUUCCAUCCAUCCUCUCACCGUCUCACCCCCACCUGCUCCCUCUAAAUCUUCCUGUGAUGGCUGAACCGCCGUGGCAGCACGUGGCCUGAAACGCACAGCAUGAAACAGCACCCAGCCGCAACAGAGCACUUCCUCACAAAGAAGAAAAGAAAGCCACACGCCCAAGAACAGGAGAGAGGAGCAGCCAGAAGCAAGUAGAAGUGAUGUCUCCAGCCAUGAGGCCCGCGGGAACAAGCACGUGAGUCCCACGCACAUGGCCGAACCCCCGCUGCUCCACUUCCUCCUGGGGCCCCCUCCUCAGUGAAGCUGGGGCAGACGCGGGACUGGAAUCACAUCCCGGGAUCUCUGGAGCUCUGGUUUCACAGACACUGUGAGCACCGGGUGCCGAGUCACCCAGAGCCUUGGUCCAUGGCUCACGACAAAGGAAGCAGGGUGACACAAGGAUAGUGAUGCCCUGGGGACGGCGCAGAGGCCUGUCUACCACCCAUGCGUCCAAGAACGAAGGCUCCCCGCGCAAGGGGGUCCCCGGGGUGGGGUCGAAAGCCUGCAAUUACUGCUGAUGACAACCUUCGGGCCAGCUCCAUGGUGCGGUUUAUGGAGACUCUGAGCCGGACACACAGAGGUUCGCUGCGGGAUGAAAGGCCAGCUGGAAGGGCAUGAUGGGCAGGGGACGGGCACGGCCUGGGAAAAGGACACAAACGCACGAAUGUCAUCAGUCUGGGCUGGUGGCUGCUGGGUGCCAUCCUUCCAUCCCGCGCCCACUGCGUGGGGUCAAGACUUGUCCGCAUCCGGGGAAGGAGUGACCACAACACCCUGGGCUCCUGGAACCGCUUGUCCCCUCUAAGCUCCCACUCCAGCCUCAAUGGUCCAUCCUAACAUGGUUCCCCAUGGCCCCCAGCAGGAACCAUAAACUCACAUGCCCUUGGGGACCAGGCUGGGGACCAAGGAGUGAAGGAGGCUGGAGGGAGACAAUAGGGAGUGGUGGAGACUGUGAACAACGGGAGACCACAGGCCCCUGACACUGGGCAGCUGUCACUCAGCUCCAACUCGUGUUCGUCAUGCAGGACUGUGGGUCCAGGGCUGCCAGAGUUUUCCAUUGUUCGAAUAUACAUAUGGCCCACAAGCACACGAAAAGACGUUCAGCAUCAUUAGCCACCAGGGAAAUGCAAAUCAAAGCUGCAAUGAGAUGCCACACCACACCCAUUAGGAUGGCUGGAAUCAAAAAGACAGACAAUAACAAUGUUGGUGAGGAUGCAGGAGGAACUGGAAUGCUCAUGCAGAAGAGAGCAGCUGCUCUGGAAAACAGUUUGGCAAUCCUUCAAAAAGUGUAACAGAGAGGUGCCAUAUGACCCAGCAAUUCCAU